GGGCCCUUGGCACAGUGGUAGCGCGCACGCUUCGCAGUAGUUGGGGACAUUUCGUCCUUGAGCAGUUGUUUGCGUGAGGUCCAGGGUUCAAUCCCCUGAGCGUCCA